UACGGAAGGGAUAAGCGCUGAAAGCAUAUAAGUGCGAAGCUCUUUCCAAGAUGAGGUUUCCCACUGGGUCAACCAGGUAAGGCCCGUGGUAGACGACCACGUUGAUAGGCCGGAAGUGUAAGUGCGGCAACGCAUUCAGCUGACCGGUACUAAUCGGCCGAGGACUUGAAUCU
rnacentral:rRNA from 1 species